rnacentral:lncRNA from 1 species
GUAAAGAGUCUAUGACUGUAACAUGGGAGGGGAAAACAGCAUGCCUGAUUGCAGCACCUGCUUGCACAGGUAAACUUAAUCAGAGCGCCAGGUAUCAGCUGAGCUCUGUUCAUCCAGCAGCAAUUAGCCCACCUCAGCUGUGAAGAAUUUAGCUAAACUCAUCAACAGUAUUCUGAGAAGAGGGAUGAUAGGAAAAGCUGUGUUUAGACUUCAUGCCUUACCAGCUGGAGUGGGGGCUGCUGGUGUUGCCUUCUGUCAACAGGGUCUGUGGGGUGACAGUCUGCUUGGAAAGCUCUGCCUCGCUCACAAGCUGAUAAGGAGAAUAUGCCAAGUCAACCAGAUGAGUCAGCACAGGCAACAUAAAGGACCGCAGUUAAAAGCUAGGGCUAGGACUUGGAGGAUGUGUAGGCAAACGGAAGGAGAGCCGGGGGAAGAAAAGCCGAAAUGGAUUCAUUCUCCGUCCUGGCUGGAGGAGGAGAGGAGCGGGGACGUGCGGGCUGCCUGCAGCUGCCUCUGUCCGGUGAGAAGUGCUCGCAGCCCCGCGGCUGACUCGGGCUCAGGAGUCCGCGCGGACUUUCGCUCUAAGCUGCCAAUCAAACCGCUAACCGCCACCACCCUGCGCCGGCACCGACAUGAGCUGAGGCAACACAACCGUGUUGUGCCAGAGCCACCUCUGCAGCCCCCUCAGCCACCUCAGCCCUGA